rnacentral:rRNA from 1 species
AUUGAACGCUGGCGGCAUGCCUUACACAUGCAAGUCGAACGGCAGCGGGGGAGAAGCUUGCUUUUCCUGCCGGCGAGUGGCGAACGGGUGAGUAAUACAUCGGAACGUGCCCUGUAGUGGGGGAUAACGUAGCGAAAGUUACGCUAAUACCGCAUACGAUCUAUGGAUGAAAGCGGGGGAUCGCAAGACCUAGCGCGAUUGGAGCGGCCGAUAUCUGAUUAGCUAGUUGGUGGGGUAAAGGCCCACCAAGGCAUCGAUCAGUAGCUGGUCUGAGAGGACGACCAGCCACACUGGAACUGAGACACGGUCCAGACUCCUACGGGAGGCAGCAGUGGGGAAUUUUGGACAAUGGGGGCAACCCUGAUCCAGCAAUGCCGCGUGAGUGAAGAAGGCCCUCGGGUUGUAAAGCUCUUUUGUCAGGGAAGAAAAGGGAUUGGCUAAUAUCCAGUCCUCAUGACGGUACCUGAAGAAUAAGCACCGGCUAACUACGUGCCAGCCGCCGCCGUAA